rnacentral:rRNA from 1 species
GACGAACGCUGGCGGCGUGCUUAACACAUGCAAGUCGUACGGUAAGGCCCUUUCGGGGGUACACGAGUGGCGAACGGGUGAGUAACACGUGAGUAACCUGCCCACAACUUUGGGAUAACGCUAGGAAACUGGUGCUAAUACUGGAUAUGUGCUCCUGCUGCAUGGUGGGGGUUGGAAAGCUCCGGCGGUUGUGGAUGGACUUGCGGCCUAUCAGCUUGUUGGUGGGGUAGUGGCCUACCAAGGCGGCGACGGGUAGCCGGCCUGAGAGGGUGACCGGCCACAUUGGGACUGAGAUACGGCCCAGACUCCUACGGGAGGCAGCAGUGGGGAAUAUUGCACAAUGGGCGCAAGCCUGAUGCAGCAACGCCGCGUGCGGGAGGACGGCCUUCGGGUUGUAAACCGCUUUCAGCAGGGACGAAGCUUUUUGUGACGGUACCUGCAGAAGAAGCACCGGCUAACUACGUG